rnacentral:rRNA from 1 species
GAUGAACGCUGGCGGCGUGCCUAACACAUGCAAGUCGAGCGAUCUUCUUCGGAAGAGAGCGGCGGACGGGUGAGUAACGCGUGGGUAACCUGCCCUGUACACACGGAUAACAUACCGAAAGGUAUGCUAAUACGAGAUAAUAUGCUUUUGUCGCAUGGUAGAAGUAUCAAAGCUUUUGCGGUACAGGAUGGACCCGCGUCUGAUUAGCUAGUUGGUAAGGUAACGGCUUACCAAGGCGACGAUCAGUAGCCGACCUGAGAGGGUGAUCGGCCACAUUGGAACUGAGACACGGUCCAAACUCCUACGGGAGGCAGCAGUGGGGAAUAUUGCACAAUGGGCGAAAGCCUGAUGCAGCAACGCCGCGUGAGCGAUGAAGGCCUUCGGGUCGUAAAGCUCUGUCCUCAAGGAAGAUAAUGACGGUACUUGAGGAGGAAGCCCCGGCUAACUACGUGCCAGCAGCCGCGGUAAUAC